rnacentral:rRNA from 1 species
UACAGAGGUCCCAAGCGUUGUUCGGAUUCACUGGGCGUAAAGGGUGCGUAGGUGGCCAGGUAAGUUUGGUGUGAAAGCUCGGAGCUUAACUCCGAAAAGUCAUUGAAUACUAUCUGGCUGGAGGGUCGGAGGGGAGACUGGAAUUCUCGGUGUAGCAGUGAAAUGCGUAGAUAUCGAGAGGAACACCGGUGGCGAAGGCGGCGAUCUGGACGAUGACUGACGCUGAGACGCGAAAGCGUGGGGAGCAAACAGG